rnacentral:rRNA from 1 species
UACGUAGGGCGCGAGCGUUGUCCGGAAUUAUUGGGCGUAAAGAGCUCGUAGGUGGCUUGUCACGUCUGCCGUGAAAGCCCAUGGCUUAACUGUGGGUCUGCGGUGGAUACGGGCAGGCUAGAGUUCGGUAGGGGAGACUGGAAUUCCCGGUGUAGUGGUGAAAUGCGUAGAGAUCGGGAGGAACACCUGUGGCGAAGGCGGCCCCCUGGGCCGCGCCUGACGCUGAGACGCGAAGGCUAGGGGAGCGAACGGG